rnacentral:rRNA from 1 species
GUGGAUUAGAUACCCUAGUAGUCCUAGCCGUAAACGAUGGGUACUAGGUGUAGAGGGUAUCGACCCCUUCUGUGCCGGAGUUAACGCAAUAAGUACCCCGCCUGGGGAGUACGGCCGCAAGGUUGAAACUCAAAGGAAUUGACGGGGGCCCGCACAAGCGGUGGAGUAUGUGGUUUAAUUCGACGCAACGCGAAGAACCUUACCAGGGCUUGACAUUGAGUGAAAAGCUAAGAGAUUAGUUCCUCUCUUCGGAGACACAAAAACAGGUGGUGCAUGGCCGUCGCCAGCU